AUACGGAGGAUCCUAGUGUUAUCCGGAUUUAUUGGGUUUAAAGGGAGCGUAGGCGGGAGGUCAAGUCAGCUGUGAAAUGUAUCUGCUUAACGGGUACACUGCAGUUGAAACUGGUUUUCUUGAGUGCGUAAGAGGCAGGCGGAAUUCGUUGUGUAGCGGUGAAAUGCUUAGAUAUGACGAGGAACUCCUAUUGCGAAGGCAGCUUGCUGGGUCGUGACUGACGCUGAUGCUCGAAGGUGCGGGGAUCAAACAGGAUUAGAUACCCUGGUAGUCCGCACAGUAAACUAUGGAUACUCUCUGCCGGCGAUAUAUUGUCGGUGGCCAAGCGAAAGCGUUAAGUAUCCCACCUGGGGAGUACGUUCGCAAGAAUGAAACUCAAAUGAAUUGACGGGG
rnacentral:rRNA from 1 species